rnacentral:misc_RNA from 1 species
UCAGGGCAAAAGGUACAAAUCCGAUUGUGCUUGCACAAAGAGGAUUUGGAACUUGGGACCCGCAAAACGCGAGAGCUGCGAAGCAGCGAAGCGAUUCGUGACAUUGUCAGGGCAAAAGCCCCAAAAGAAUUAAUGA